GGCCAGUCCCAGCCCCUGUGACCUGUUUCAUCUCGGCCUGCUCCAACUUUCUGGCCCACAGGAAACAUGGGCCUUUUGCUCCUGUCCCUCCUGCUCUUGGCCAGUGCACCAGGGGUCUGCUCCCAGGUUCAGCUGCUCCAGGCCACUGCGGCCCAGGAAAAGCCUUCAGGGACCUUGAGACUCACUUGUGCCGUGUCUGGAUUCUCCCUCACUGCCAGUGGGAACAGAGUGAGCUGGAUCCGGCAACCCCCAGGGAAAGGCCUGGAGUGGCUGUGCCUCAUCUACUGGGAUGAUGACAAGCGCUACCAGGACUCCAUGAAGUCCCGCCUGACCAUCUCCAGGGACACGUCCAAGAGCGAGGUGUAUUUGGAGCUGACAGGACUGGAAGCCAGAGACAGCGGCACCUAUGACUGUGCCGGAGCACAGUGA